AUUGAACGCUGGCGGCAUGCUUUACACAUGCAAGUCGAACGGUAACAGCACUUCGGUGGCUGACGAGUGGCGAACGGGUGAGUAAUACAUCGGAACGUGCCUAGGAGUGGGGGAUAACUACUCGAAAGAGUAGCUAAUACCGCAUGAGAUCUAAGGAUGAAAGCAGGGGACCUUCUGGCCUUUCACUACUAGAGCGGCUGAUGGCAGAUUAGGUAGUUGGUGGGAUAAAAGCUUACCAAGCCGACGAUCUGUAGCUGGUCUGAGAGGACGACCAGCCACACUGGGACUGAGACACGGCCCAGACUCCUACGGGAGGCAGCAGUGGGGAAUUUUGGACAAUGGGCGCAAGCCUGAUCCAGCAAUGCCGCGUGCAGGAUGAAGGCCUUCGGGUUGUAAACUGCUUUUGUACGGAACGAAAAGCACCCUUCUAAUACAGGAGGGUCAUGACGGUACCGUAAGAAUAAGCACCGGCUAACUACGUG
rnacentral:rRNA from 1 species